UCUAUGGAAAUGAAUAAAACCGUUUAUUUUUCUUCUUGUGAUUAGCUGUAAGGUCUGCUUUAAAAGACAAUAAAUUCACUCAAAAGUUGCUUUCAAAGAUUUUUUUUUUAUUGGGCAGAAAGCAUCCUAAUAAAAAACUCACAGAGGGAUGGGUGAGCUCCCUUGAAGGCCAGCUGGUUGUAUGGCCAGUCUGUAGAGAACAGCAGUAGGCUGCUUCCUUCCUUGGCUGCAGGAGAUUUUCCUGAUUUGCCUUGUGGUGGGCAACCUUUCAACUUUAUGGGUGAUGCUGCCAUGUCAUUUGUAGUGAGUUAAUGAUGCACAGAAAGGAGAGUGGGUAGAUUUGUGGCAGAUAUGGGUUUCCUAGCAACAUCAUUAGCUAUGCUGGACCACCAUUCAGUCAGCUUUGUCUCCUGUGGCCUGAUACCAUGGUGACACCACAUUCUCUCUGGCCACUCCAUAAACCUUGCACUUAUGGCUCUCUGUCUUUAGAAGGACUGGGAAGAAAGAUCACUUAGCAGUGUGCUGCUAAGAUGCUGAAAUCGAUGGCAACGUUCCACUUUCUUUCUUUUUCCCCCGAGGCCUUUGACUGUGUACUUUGUAUGAUUUGUUUCCUGGGUACAGACAGCCUUGUAACCUUUUUGUCUUAUAAAUGCAGAAUCUUUGCUGAAGCAUCCCAUGUCUGUCUGACCACCAUGGCUGAGACUAAAGACUUGUUUACCAAUAAUGAAAAUGGUAUCAUAUUUAUUUGGCUUAAUUUCCACCCAUUUUUUAAGGGACCACAGUCUUCAUCAGAUUUCUUUUACAAUAUUCCAGGAAUUGUAAUCUACCAUUUUCUUCUGUCCUGUCCUGGUCCAGCUACUGUUGUGACUCCUCAAUAGCUGAAAUGAUUCAGUGCUCCAUUGGGCCACUGCAACAAGGCCAUCAUUGAGGCCACCAAAGCUGUAAUGGCGUCUUUGCUUCUGCACUCCAGAUGAGGACUGGCUUGUUUCUGUACACACACUGAUGCCUCUCUUUUGUGUUCCAGACACUUUAGGGUUCCUUCUUCUCCACCUAUCUCCUCCUCUUCUCCUGCCCCCACUUUUUCUUCUCCUGUUAUGGUGGUCCCAUUGCUGCAGGACUCAGGUCUGUGAAGGCUAGGCUUGGAGACAAUCUGAGAGACAGAUACAGUGAUAUUCUUAGAAAAUUCUCUCCUCUCCUUUUCCAAACUGACCUACUGAACGUGUACCAAAUUUAAACACCCCAGCCCUCCUUCUAAUUGAAGAGUUCUUUUUAAAAGAGAUUACUCAGCCCCUCAAGUAAAUAGACCCUUGAUGGCCCUGGCCCUGCUGGUCUUUUAGACAGGCUAAAGCUGUCAUGCUCAAACUCUGCACCACUGACAUGAAGGAAGGCCCAUCAACUUCUCUAUGUCUGUUUGGGCCUGUUUUAAAACAUCAUCAGUGUGGGCACAGAAGAAUUCAUUCUUCUCCCUGAGUCUCUCAGGAACUCUGCAUGGCAUCCAUGUUUGGAAUCCUUAGCUUACUGCCCCUAUGAUGCCUCCUUAGAGUAUGUUGUUUCCUGCUUGUUUCUGGAGCAGAGUCUAGGUGGUAGGCACUAUGAGGAUGCUAUGCAGAAUAAGGCAUGAAUUCUCUUUUGAAGGAGUCUUCAGAACAGAAUUUGAGAUGAUGUGAUCAAACAAAUAGGAAGAGUACUCUCUAACAGUACUUCUGCCAGGUGGUCAUAUGGCCUCUGCCUGGAUCUUUACCAAUUUUUUCAAACACAGAGCUUUCUGCUGCAGAAUAAUUUGAAGCAUUAGACGUUUUUCCCUAUUUAAA
rnacentral:lncRNA from 10 species